AGUAGCGAUAAGGUUCUUUAUUCUAUGGCGAUAGCGUGCUGAGCUAGCGGCUGGAACGAUGCUUGUGUCGCGGCGUGUUGACGAAGCCCUGACGAGAAAGCGACGGCAUCGUAAAAGGAAAAGCCUGUCUAAUGGGGACGAAGUAGUUCAGAUGUUUGCAUUUGGCACAUCAACGUGGCACACAAGUGAGGGUUGUUUUGCCAAGUGGUGCAGAAUUCACGCUACCAGCUCCACUACAGUGUCAGCAUUGAAAUGUCGAGCACCAACCUAGUAUGCCUUCAGUGACCACGGUUUCGCUCAUGCCCUCCCCAUUGAGACUACGGGGUGAUAAUUGGAUGCGAUCAAACGCCAUCUUCAUCAGAAAAGCCACACUCCUUGCACCAUUGCCUUAUGCUGUCCAACAUGAUGCAAUGCUGUAACUGAUGGUGAAAAAGCCACUGGCGUGUGCCUGACUCCUGGGCAGGCAGAUACCCUACAGCUGUGGUGUUGCAUUGGCAUUCAUCGAACAUGCGACUACUGCAUGGACAAGAGUCUUGCGGACCUGAGGGAGACUGACGUUUUGGGAUCUGCUACACUUUUCUCUUCCCUGGUAUGCAGUGAAAAUAAAUUGAAAGUUGAAAUGAAAUAAACAAACAUACUUCUACCCUUGUGUGGUCACUGCUUGGUUGAAACAAAGUCGGCACUGCCCCUUCACGCAGUCGGCGUCAUUGUAGACCACCCCAAAAGUUAGAUUGCUCGAAGUGGGCAGAGCACAGAGCAUGACGUCUGGUUGGAGCAAAGCCUCUCAGACCCAUGGCUUGAAGCCAUUUUUGCAGGAGGAUGGGAUUGUCAAUUGGAAACCUGUUUAUUCAACACAAAAAGUGCAGAAAGUGGUCAGUCAUCAUCAUCACCAGUCUAUUUAUAUGUACAGUACAGGACGAGGGCCUCUCCUAGAGAUU
rnacentral:lncRNA from 1 species